rnacentral:rRNA from 1 species
CCGGCACCGGCGCACGGGUGAGUAACACGUAUGCAACCUGGCCGUGACAGAUGGAUAACCGGGAGAAAUCCCGCCUAAUACAGCAUGACGCCGGGAAGGGACAUCCCUUUCCGGCCAAAGGGGGCGACUCCGGUCACGGAUGGGCAUGCGGCGCAUUAGGUAGUUGGUGGGGCAACGGCCCACCAAGCCGACGAUGCGUAGGGGUUCUGAGAGGAAGGUCCCCCACAUUGGAACUGAGACACGGUCCAAACUCCUACGGGAGGCAGCAG